rnacentral:rRNA from 1 species
CCUACGGGAGUCAGCAGUGAGGAAUAUUGGUCAAUGGGCGCGAGCCUGAACCAGCCAAGUCGCGUGAGGGAAGACGGCCCUACGGGUUGUAAACCUCUUUUGCCGGGGAGCAACGGGCGCCACGUGUGGCGCCACUGGGAGUACCCGGAGAAAAAGCAUAGGCUAACUCCGUGCCAGCAGCCUCGGUAAUACGGAGGAUGCGAGCGUUAUCCGGAUGUAUUGGGUUUAAAGGGUGCGUAGGCGGAGCGUUAAGUCAGUGGGACAAUUGGGGGGCUCAACCCCUUCCCGCCAUUGAAACUGGCGCUCUUGAGUGGAAGAGAAGUAUGCGGAAUGCGUGGUGUAGCGGUGAAAUGCAUAGAUAUCACGCAGAACCCCGAUUGCGAAGGCAGCAUGCCGGCUUCCGACUGACGCUGAAGCACGAAAGCGUGGGGAUCGAACAGGAUUAGAUACCCGGGUAGUC